GAAAUAGCCAAGCGCAUUUGCCUAUUACUGCUGGAUGUUGCUUUACUUGCUCGAAAUGCAGCAAGAUCAGCUGAUGUGAUCAGCUACGUGGAGAAGGUCUUUUGUAGCAGUAGUUUAUUGAGUCAAGUUGACAGCGGAAACUCUGCACUGCCAACAGCUUCAGCCGUUUUGAAAUCGGCUUCAUUUCCCAGCAAUUCAACUAUUCCUGAUGCAUCUACUCCAGAUUCACCUGCUGCUGGGAUAACCUCUGAAGGCUCUUUGUCUAGGACAUUAUCAGAAGAGGGACUUGAAGAUCUGCAUUUAAUAUCAUCCAUGGAGAUUGGUGGGCAGAACCUACCACGACAGUCUGGCUUGAAAUCUUCAAAUGAUCCAACAAGGAACCAAGCUGACGAGUUUAUCUCAACUGCUGAUAUGAGGAUUAAACUGCACCUUUGCAAGGUCCAAUUUCUUCUCCUCACCAGGAAUCUUAAGGCAGCUAAGCGUGAAGUUAAGAUGGCUAUGAACACAGCACGGGGCAAAGAUCAUUCUAUGGCUCUCUAUUUGAAGUCCCAGCUUGAAUAUACUCGUGGGAAUCACCGAAAAGCAAUCAAGCUCUUGAUGGCAUCAAGUAAUCGGGCAGAAACGGGAAUUUCUAGCUUAUACUACAACAACCUGGGUUGCAUAUAUUAUCGACUUGGCAAGCAUCACACUUCUUCUGUAUUUUUUGCCAAGGCUCUGAGUAAUAGUUCAUCUCUCCGGAAAGAGCGACCUUUAAAGCUCUCAACCAUCUCUCAGGACAAGUCUCUUCUCAUAACCUAUAACUGUGGUAUGCAGUACCUGGCUUGUGGGAAAC
rnacentral:misc_RNA from 1 species